rnacentral:ncRNA from 1 species
ACAUAAGCUAUGAGGAAGACAAGCAGAGGAUUGCCAAUGUCUGCAGAGAGCCGGCGGUAGGUGUGAGCCGGUGAUAAGCAAUGCUAUGUAUCCCUUCUGAGCCGGAAUGCUGAAAGUUAUCAGUAAGCGUUCCCGUGAGUCUGCGUCAAGGAAUAGGGCUUGCUGGAGUCUGAAGUGGUGUUACGCAAUAGCGGCACAAUUUGAGUGGUACCGCGGGUAAUCAGAUUAUGAUACUCGUCUCAAAG